rnacentral:rRNA from 1 species
GACGAACGCUGGCGGCGUGCUUAACACAUGCAAGUCGAACGGAAAGGCCCUGCUUUUGUUGGGUGCUCGAGUGGCGAACGGGUGAGUAACACGUGAGUAACCUGCCCUUGACUUUGGGAUAACUUCAGGAAACUGGGGCUCUUACCGGAUAUGAGCUCCUGCUGCAUGUGGGUGGUUGGAAAGUUUCGGCGGUUGUGGAUGGACUCGCGGCUUAUCAGCUUGUUGGUGGGGUAGUUGCUUACCAAGGCUUUGACGGGUAGCCGGCCUGAGAGGGUGACCGGCCACAUGAGGACUGAGAUACGGCCCAGAAUCCUACGGGAGGCAGCAGGGGGAAACAUUGCACAGUAGGCGGAAGCCUGAUGCAGCAACGCCGCGUGCGGGAAGAAGGGCUUCGGGUUGUAAACAGAUUUCGCCUGUGACGAAGCGUGAGUGACGGUAACGUGUAAAGAAGCACCGGCUAACUACGUG